AGAAGACACACUUGAGAAGUAUGAUGAUGUCAUCACCACAGGACAAAUCUCUGAUCUUCAAAAAGGGAAUUACGAUGGUGUCAUCAUCAUAGGGGAAAACUUUCAAGGUAUAAUAGCAGAUUAUGACGAUGUGGGAGGAGGACCCAAACAAAGUGGGCGGGGCUGUGACUCAAUAACCACACCCACUGCCUAAUGUUAUAAAAUGAUACUACAGCCUAUAAUCAUAAGCCUUAUAAU